CGUGUGUGUCCCUGUAGAACGUCCAGAACGUGUUGACUCUAGAGGGAAGUGGACUGAUGUCUGCUCUGAGGGUUCUCUCCAGAUCGCCUGUCCCCCUCCCGCCGUAGAGGCUCAGCAGAGAGAUCUGAAGUGGAGUCUAGCGGGAGUGCAGUUGUUUUCUGGGGAGGGCUUGGACACGUGUGUUUGUGUGCUCCAGAAGCUGUGUAGCGUGCUGCUGCCUGCCUGGCGUGUGCACGGACACAUGGGACCCCCCCACAGCGCUGUAUGAUCCUUGGCGUGUGCGCUAACACGCUAAGGCUGCUGCGGACCAUGCUGACAGAGCUGCUGCGCAGCGGAGCCUUCCAGUUCAGGGACACGCGUGUGGCGAGCACGUUGGUGACGCUACACAUGGUCGUGUGUUCAGCCCCGUCCUCUGGACGUCUAGACUGGGAGGAGACCAAGGUUCAGGCCCUCAUCGUAGAUGUGCUGCUCACCUUCACACGGGAGUCAGCGAACAGAUGACCCACACAGAGGAGACUCUGCUCAGUAACACAUGGUCUCUGAUGCUGAAGGAGGUGUUGGGCUCUCUACUGAAAGCACCAGAGGGACUCUUCCUGGCCUCACCCUGCUGUCUGAACUGCUGCCACUUCCCCUGCCCAUGCAGAGCACGCAGGUGAUCUCUGUCCAGGACGUGGCUGUAGCGUUGAACACCAGGAAGUUGUGGAGCAUGCACCUGCGGGUGCAGUGGGGUGUGUUUGCGGACGCCCUCGGGUGUGGUGUGUGGAACUAGCUGUCCUCCGCUGCUGGCCAUGCUGCGACGUGUGUGUGUCCAGCUGGCUGACCUCUCCUCUCCACCCGCCACCCUCAUCAUGAAGACCCUGCUGGAAUUCCUGCUGGGGGAACUACAGCCUGUUGAGGGUAAGAGUACCGGUUGGGGGCAGGUCCUGCGUCUCUCUCUCUAUUCGACACCUGGUUUCCCAGAGAGCCUGUAAGAUCGCAACGUUACACCUGCUCUCUGGCUCCGCCCCUGGAGACGAGCCAUUGGCUGAUGUCUUCCCCUGCUACUGUCCCUAUUGGUUCCCGCUGCUGACCACGCCCUGCCACAACAGCACUGUGCAGAGCUGGUGGGAACUGUCCUGCAGUCACUGUGUGCCAGGUAACACACGAAGCACCUGGUAUUGUAUGAAGCUAAUGCACUUCAUCCACUAGCUGUUGUCUUUCCUCCAGCUAUAACAAUGGAGAGGUAUGGGGUGAAUUGGUGCGUGUUAUGUUCAUAAACAUGUAGGUCUUUGUGGAUGCUCUUUAGUCUGAACUAUGUGUCAGACUAGCAGGGGGUCGUAUAUCAGGCUGAGCCAGGUAACAGGGAGCGGUAGAGGAAUAGAGAAAGGUGUUUAACCCCAUCAGUCCCAAGACAUGUAUCUGACUUUCAUUAUCUGCAUGUCCAGCCGUUAUAUUUAGUCUCACAAUGAAGUGUUUUACCAUGUUCUUUUCAGGACAACCAGGGC